CAAGGGGAACUGAGAGGGGACCUUCUCCACACAGGAAGAAGGAGAAGCAAGGCAGAUGUGGCUAACAUCUUCCAGUGGAGUCAUAAGGGAAUACACACACCAGGACAACCAGAAGAGAAUGAAACCUUAAAAUACCACUUUCCUGGAGGAUGCAGGUUUGGUAUAUAUUAUAGAAGAAAAUCUUUUAUGGGAAAUGCAUGGUCUUUUGGUGGAGAGUUUGAGAUGAAGUCAUCUUAGUGGAGUUUCAUUGUUCUGUCUUCAGUUUUAUUUUUCUUCUUAUCAGAUGUGCUGAUGAAAGCUAUUUACUAUUCCUUUUUGGGAAUUUAACUUGAUGUCUUUUUUUCUACAUAUACAAAGAACCCAAGUCCUUUGACCAAAUAGAUUACUAUUAUGAUAUUAAAGAAUCAGCGUUAGAAAGAAUCUAGGAG
rnacentral:lncRNA from 1 species